rnacentral:sRNA from 1 species
UACUUCAUCUAAUGUGUUUAUAAAAUCAUUAUAUUGUUCUGCAUUGUCUAUUUCAUUUUCUA